UUGUGGGAAUUGAAGUCCAGCGUUUCCUGCGAUGCUCGUUUUCAUCAUGGCACCAAGACUCGGUCUUCCAGAGUCCAUUGCGUGACGUAUGCGCUCAAUUGGCAACAAAAGGAAACAAAAGAAUCAACCUACGUUUCAAAGGAGAAAACAUUUUGUACUGCAGAGUUGGAUUACAAUGGUUUCUAAGAAACGCUACCAAGUAUAUUUAAGCUCCUGCACUUCUGUUAAAGGACUGCCUGCACCUCAUAACCCUGUAACAAAGAGGUGACGCUUGGAGCAAAAUUAUAAAGUAUCUUACUUGCAGGUUUAAGUGUUUUACCUGCAUGGAUAUAUCUGCACGAUGUGUGCCUUCAGUGCCCAGGGAAGCAAGAAGAGGCAGGAUCUCAUAGAGCCCAAGCUAACUUCAGAUUCCCUGUAAGCAAGGAGGCUGAUGGAAUUCCUGAUUCUCCUGCUGGGACUAUGGGCCUACAUCACCAUGCCUGCCCUAAGAAACGUGUGUUUGUUUGUUUGUUGACAUUCAUGUUGAUAUCAUAUCAUUGUAAUAUCUUACAUUUUGACAGCAUAUUGAUUGCUUGGAUUUAGAGAUGGAAUGAAAGGUUAAAUAGCAGAAAUACUUUUCUCUCUUUUAGGGGUUGAACCCAGCACCCUCUACAUGAUGGGCUGGCAGUUUUCUACUACCAUAUCUCUGGGCCAGUAUUCAGUCACAUAUUUGGGUCCAGGGGAUUGAACUCAGGCUAUCUCUGCUUAGCAGCAAGUGUGUUUCACUGAGCCAUCUUGUCUUGCCAAAUAAAAUUCCAAAGAUGAAGCUUGCAUGGACUUCUUGUGUUAGUCCAUCUAGAUUGUCUAUCUUUCAUUUUUAAAUGAAAAAGGUUUCAUUAGAAACCCUUGGGGCUGGA